GCAAUUAUACCGUGAAACUGCGAAUGGCUCAUUAAAUCAGUUAUCGUUUAUUUGAUAGUACCUUACUACUUGGAUAACCCGUGGUAAUUCUAGAGCUAAUACAUGCUAAAAACCCCAACUCCGGAAGGGGUGUAUUUAUUAGAUAAAAAACCAAUGCCCUUCGGGGCUCUUUGGUGAUUCAUGAUAACUUCUCAGAUCGCAUGGCCUUGCGCCGGCGACGGUUCAUUCAAAUUUCUGCCCUAUCAACUUUCGAUGGUAAGGUAUUGGCUUACCAUGGUUUCAACGGGUAACGGGGAAUUAGGGUUCGAUUCCGGAGAGGGAGCCUGAGAAACGGCUACCACAUCCAAGGAAGGCAGCAGGCGCGCAAAUUACCCAAUCCCGACACGGGGAGGUAGUGACAAUAAAUACUGAUACAGGGCUCUUUUGGGUCUUGUAAUUGGAAUGAGUACAAUUUAAACCUCUUAACGAGGAACAAUUGGAGGGCAAGUCUGGUGCCAGCAGCCGCGGUAAUUCCAGCUCCAAUAGCGUAUAUUAAAGUUGUUGCAGUUAAAAAGCUCGUAGUUGAACCUUGGGCCUGGCUGGCAGGUCCGCCUCACCGCGUGUACUUGACCGGCCGGGCCUUCUCUUCUGGAGAACCUCAUGCCCUUUACUGGGCGUGUUGGGGACCAGGACUUUUACUUUGAAAAAAUUAGAGUGUUCAAAGCAGGCCUUUGCUCGAAUAUGUUAGCAUGGAAUAAUAGAAUAGGACGUGCGGUCCUAUUUUGUUGGUUUCUAGGACCGCCGUAAUGAUUAAUAGGGACAGUCGGGGGCAUCAGUAUUCAAUUGUCAGAGGUGAAAUUCUUGGAUUUAUUGAAGACUAACUACUGCGAAAGCAUUUGCCAAGGAUGUUUUCAUUAAUCAGUGAACGAAAGUUAGGGGAUCGAAGACGAUCAGAUACCGUCGUAGUCUUAACCAUAAACUAUGCCGACUAGGGAUCGGGCGAUGUUUCAAUAUUGACUCGCUCGGCACCUUACGAGAAAUCAAAGUGUU
rnacentral:rRNA from 2 species